rnacentral:misc_RNA from 1 species
AAGUCGUAACAAGGUUUCCGUAGGUGAACCUGCGGAAGGAUCAUUAUCGUGGGUGCUUCGGCGCCCUCGAGAUAGAACCCUUGCCUUUAUGAGUACCCUUCGUUUUCCUCGGCAGGCCCGCCUGCCAAUGGGGACCCCCAACAAACCCUUUGUAAAUGCCUGCAAUCGUCUGACGAAACAAGCAAAAAUCAAAAACUUUCAACAACGGAUCUCUUGGUUCUG